rnacentral:rRNA from 1 species
UACGGGGGGGGCAAGCGUUGUUCGGAAUUACUGGGCGUAAAGGGCUCGUAGGUGGCCAACUAAGUCAGACGUGAAAUCCCUCGGCUUAACCGGGGAACUGCGUCUGAUACUGGAUGGCUUGAGAUUGGGAGAGGGAUGCGGAAUUCCAGGUGUAGCGGUGAAAUGCGUAGAUAUCUGGAGGAACACCGGUGGCGAAGGCGGCAUCCUGGACCCACACUGACGCUGAGGAGCGAAAGCCAGGGGAGCAAACGGGA